rnacentral:tRNA from 1 species
UCAGAGAAUAGUUUAGUGAAAAUAAUAAUUUUGGAGAUUAUUGACAAGAGUAUAAUUCUUUUCUCUGA